GAUGAACGCUGGCGGCGUGCCUAAUACAUGCAAGUCGAGCGAACGGACGAGAAGCUUGCUUCUCUGAUGUUAGCGGCGGACGGGUGAGUAACACGUGGAUAACCUACCUAUAAGACUGGGAUAACUUCGGGAAACCGGAGCUACUACCGGCUAAUAUUUUGAACCGCAUGGUUCAAAAGUUCAAGACGGUCUUGCUGUCACUUAUAGCUGGAUCCGCGCUGCAUUAGCUAGUUGGUAAGGUAACGGCUUACCAAGGCAACGAUGCAUAGCCGACCUGAGAGGGUGAUCAGCCACACUGGAACUGAGACACGGUCCAGACUCCUACGGGAGGCAGCAGUAGGGAAUCUUCCGCAAUGGGCGAAAGCCUGACGGAGCAACGCCGCGUGAGUGAUGAAGGUCUUCGGAUCGUAAAACUCUGUUAUUAGGGAAGAAAAUAUGUGGAAGUAACUGUGCACAUCUUGACGGUACCUAAUCAGAAAGCCACGGCUAACUACGUG
rnacentral:rRNA from 1 species